rnacentral:rRNA from 1 species
AACAGGAUUAGAUACCCUGGUAGUCCACGCUGUAAACGAUGUCGAUUUGAAAGUUGUGGCUUAAAGUCGUGGCUUUCGUAGCUAACGCGUUAAAUCGACCGCCUGGGGAGUACGGCCGCAAGGUUAAAACUCAAAUGAAUUGACGGGGGCCCGCACAAGCGGUGGAGCAUGUGGUUUAAUUCGAUGCAACGCGAAGAACCUUACCUACUCUUGACAUCCAGAGAACUUUCCAGAGAUGGAUUGGUGCCUUCGGGAACUCUGAGACAGGUGCUGCAUGGCUGUCGUCAGCUCGUGUUGUGAAAUGUUGGGUUAAGUCCCGCAACGAGCGCAACCCUUAUCCUUUGUUGCCAGCGGUUCGGCCGGGAACUCAAAGGAGACUGCCAGUGAUAAACUGGAGGAAGGUGGGGAUGACGUCAAGUCAUCAUGGCCCUUACGAGUAGGGCUACACACGUGCUACAAUGGCGUAUACAAAGAGAAGCGACCUCGCGAGAGCAAGCGGACCUCAUAAAGUACGUCGUAGUCCGGAUUGGAGUCUGCAACUCGACUCCAUGAAGUCGGAAUCGCUAGUAAUCGUAGAUCAGAAUGCUACGGUGAAUACGUUCCCGGGCCUUGUACACACCGCCCGUCACACCAUGGGAGUGGGUUGCAAAAGAAGUAGGUAGCUUAACCUUUCGGGAGGGCGCUUACCACUUUGUGAUUCAUGACUGGGGUGAAGUCGUAACAAGGUAACCGUAUGGGAACCUUGCGGCUGGAAUCACCUCCUU